GUGGGGAAUAUUGGACAAUGGGCGCAAGCCUGAUCCAGCCAUGCCGCGUGAGUGAUGACGGCCUUAGGGUUGUAAAGCUCUUUCGCCAGGGACGAUAAUGACGGUACCUGGAUAAGAAGCCCCGGCUAACUUCGUGCCAGCAGCCGCGGUAAUACGAAGGGGGCUAGCGUUGUUCGGAAUCACUGGGCGUAAAGCGCACGUAGGCGGAUCUUUAAGUCAGGGGUGAAAUCCCGAGGCUCAACCUCGGAACUGCCUUUGAUACUGGGGAUCUCGAGUUCGGGAGAGGUGAGUGGAACUGCGAGUGUAGAGGUGAAAUUCGUAGAUAUUCGCAAGAACACCAGUGGCGAAGGCGGCUCACUGGCCCGAUACUGACGCUGAGGUGCGAAAGCGUGGGGAGCAAACAGGAUUAGAUACCCCAGUAGUCC
rnacentral:rRNA from 1 species